rnacentral:tRNA from 1 species
GGGAGCUUGCCCGAACGGAAAGGGUCCCGACUGUAAAUCGGUGGACGGUAUUGCCGAGGUGGUUCGACUCCACCAGCUCCCAC